rnacentral:rRNA from 1 species
CAGUAGCCGCGGUAAUACGGAGGGGGCUAGCGUUGUUCGGAAUUACUGGGCGUAAAGCGUGCGUAGGCGGCUUUUUAAGUCGGAUGUGAAAUCCCUGAGCUUAACUUAGGAAUUGCAUUCGAUACUGGGAAGCUAGAGUAUGGGAGAGGAUGGUAGAAUUCCAGGUGUAGCGGUGAAAUGCGUAGAGAUCUGGAGGAAUACCGAUGGCGAAGGCAGCCAUCUGGCCUAAUACUGACGCUGAGGUACGAAAGCAUGGGGAGCAAACAGGAUUAGAUACCCCUGUAGUCCCUGUCUCUUAUAC